CCUACGGGUGGCAGCAGUGGGGGAUAUUGCACAAUGGGGGAAACCCUGAUGCAGCGACGCCGCGUGGGUGAAGAAGGAUUUCGGUAUGUAAAGCCCUAUCAGCAGGGAAGAAAGAAGACGGUACCUGACGAUGAUGCCCCGGCUAACUACGUGCCAGCAGCCGCGGUAAUACGGAGGCGGCGAGCGUGAACCGGAUGGACGGGGGGGAAAGGGAGCGUAGAGGGCUGUGCAAGCCAGGAGUGAAAGCCCGGGGCCCAACCCCGGGACUGCGCUUGGAACUGUGCGGCUGGAGUGCGGGAGGGGCAGGCGGAAUUCCUGGUGUAGCGGGGAAAUGCGUAGAUAUCAGGAGGAACACCGGCGGCGAAGGCGGCCUGCUGGACCGCGACUGACGUUGAGGCUCGAAAGCGUGGGGAGCGAACAGGAUUAGAUACCCCUGUAGUC
rnacentral:rRNA from 1 species